rnacentral:rRNA from 1 species
GUCUAAGGCCAUGCUACCCUGAACAAGCCCGAUCCUGUCUGAUCUCAGAAGCUAAGCAGGGUUGGGCCUGGUUAGUACUUGGGUGGGAGACCACCUAGGAAGACCAGGCGCUGUAGGAG